rfam:Cavia porcellus supercont2_111 genomic scaffold, whole genome shotgun sequence.
AGGGAUUUAGCUCAGUGGCUUAAGUGCCUGCCUGUCAAGCAUGAGGUCGUGGGUUUGAUCCCCAGUAUCCUCA